rnacentral:rRNA from 1 species
UGGGGAAUAUUGGGCAAUGGGCGAAAGCCUUACCCAGCAACGCCGCGUGAGGGAAGAAGGUUUUCGGAUUGUAAACCUCUGUCCUGGGGGACGAAGGAAGUGACGGUACCCCGGGAGGAAGCCCCGGCUAACUACGUGCCAGCAGCCGCGGUAAUACGUAGGGGGCGAGCGUUGUCCGGAAUUAUUGGGCGUAAAGGGCGCGUAGACGGCCGAGUAAGUUAUAGGUGAAAGCCCAUCUUUCAAGGAUGGAAUUGCCUGUAAUACUGCUUGGCUUGAGUGCAGGAGAGGGAAGCGGAAUUCCUAGUGUAGCGGCGAAAUGCGUAGAUAUUAGGAGGAACACCAGUGGCGAAGGCGGCUUUCUGGACUGUAACUGACGUUGAGGCGCGAAAGCGUGGGGAGCAAACAGGAUUAGAUACC